GAGAAGAGAGAGAGUACAGCCUUGUUGCCAUGUACACACUCAGAUAUCAACAGUCUCUUAUAUUUGCUGUUACUACCUGUUAUUAGUGUCCAGUGAUGAUGAAGGCUGUACCCUCUCUCUUCUUCU